rnacentral:rRNA from 1 species
GACGAACGCUGGCGGCGUGCUUAACACAUGCAAGUCGAACGGAAAGGCCCUGCUUUUGUGGGGUGCUCGAGUGGCGAACGGGUGAGUAACACGUGAGUAACCUGCCCUUGACUUUGGGAUAACUUCAGGAAACUGGGGCUAAUACCGGAUAGGAGCUCCUGCUGCAUGGUGAGGGUUGGAAAGUUUCGGCGGUUGGGGAUGGACUCGCGGCUUAUCAGCUUGUUGGUGGGGUAGUGGCUUACCAAGGCUUUGACGGGUAGCCGGCCUGAGAGGGUGACCGGGCACAUUGGGACUGAGAUACGGCCCAGACUCCUACGGGAGGCAGCAGUGGGGAAUAUUGCACAAUGGGCGGAAGCCUGAUGCAGCAACGCCGCGUGCGGGAUGACGGCCUUCGGGUUGUAAACCGCUUUCGCCUGUGACGAAGCGUGAGUGACGGUAAUGGGUAAAGAAGCACCGGCUAACUACGUGCCAGCCGCCGCGGUAAGAC